CAGAGAAACAGCCCAAAACAUUAAAGAUCCACCUCCAUAUUUAACCGUGGGACAUGAGGGACUUUUCCAUACGGCUACCUCUCUGUGUGCUCCAAAACCACCUCUGUGUUUAUUACCAAAAAGCUCUAUUCUGGUUUCAUCUGACCGUAGAACCCGAUCCCAUUUGAAGUUCCAGUAGUGUCGGCACACUGAAGACGCUCGAGUGUGUUUUUGGAUGAGAGUAGAGGCUUUUUUCUUCAAACCCUUCCAAACAGCUUGUGGUGAUGUCGGUGACUUCAGAUUGUAGUUUUGGAGACUUUCUGACCCCAAGACACAACUAACUUCUGCAGUUCUCCAGCUGUGAUCCCUUGGAGAUGUUUUAUCCACUCGAACCGUCCUCUUCACAGUGCGUUGAGACGAUAUAGACACACGUCCAGUUCCAGGUCCAUUCAUAACAUUUCCAGUGGACUGGAACUUCUUCAUUAUUGCCCUGAUGGUGAAAUGGGCGUUUUCAAUGCUUGUGCUAUUUUCUUAUAGACACGCCCCAUUGUGUGAAGCUCAACAACCUUUUGCCGCACAUCACAGCUACAUUCCUCGCUCUUACCCAUUGUUAUGAAUGACUAAGGGAAUUUGGCCUGUGUGUUACCUCAUAUUUAUACCCCUGUGAAACAGGAAGUCACGGUUGAACACUUUCCUGUUCCUAGUCACCAGGUGUAUUAAUUAUUAUUAUUUUUUAAAUAUCAAUGAAUAUCAAUACUUCAAAUAUAUUUUCGCACAUGAAUUCACUGAAGUGCCAAUAAUUGUUGCACACCUAUAUUUAACAAAGAAUUUUUAUUUUUUGCAUAAACCUGUGUUGUGUUUGCGAUUGUUUGAUAUCUAUGAGAGCAUGAAUUUUGAACAAAAGAUCAGAAGGUUAAACAAUAAAGACAAUUUUUCACAGCCUACUUUGCUCAUAUUUACCAAGGGUGCCAAUAUUAAUGGAAUUCACUGUAUGUCUGUAGUUCUGUCUGAGCUCUGGAUACUGAUGUGCGUUUGUCAUUAGUGAUCAUUUAGAUGUCUUUAUCACAGUAUACCCUCACACCCUCAAACAUCAGCACAGCCCAAACCCUAAUGAUCACUCACAUUAGAUCUCUGCUUACACACACACACACACACACACACACACACACACACACACACACACACACACACACACAGGCAGCAGAUGUUCAGAUCAGAGAUGAUGUGUGUGAGUCGUCCAGAGAGAUCAGAUUAACGCUGGGCUUCAUACAUGACUCCGGUGUGUCUGCAAAAUCCACAAGUGUUUUCUGAGUCCCAGUGUCUUCAGAGACAACACUCUCAUCUAGAACACACACACACACACACACACACACACACACACACACACAUACACACACACACACACACACACACACACACACACACACACACACAUGCACACAGAACCAUUUGUAUUCAUUAUUUAUUAAUUUCUGCUUUAUUGAUGGCUAUUGUGUGUGUGUGUGAGUCACACACAGUGUGUGUGUGUGUGUGUGAGUGUAUGUGUGUGUGUGUGUGUGUGACAGUGUAUGUGUGUGAGUGUAUGUGUGUGUGUGAGUGUGUGAGUGUAUGUGUGUGUGUGUGACUGUGUGUGUGUGUGUGUGUGUGUGUGAGUGUGUGUGAGUGUGUGUGUUUGUGUGUGUGUGUGUGUGUGUGUGUGUGUGUGUGAGUGUAGUGUAUGUGUGUGUGUGUGUGUGUGUGUGUGUAUGUGUGUGUGUGUGUGAGUGUGUGUGAGUGAGUGUGUGAUUGUGUGUGUGUGUGAGUGUGUGUGUGUGUGUGUGUGUGUAUGUGUGUGUGUGUGUGUGUGUGAGUGUGUGUGUGUGUGUGUGUGUGAGAGUAAGUGUAUGUGUGUGUGUGAGUGUAUAUGUGUGUGUGUGUGUGUGUGUGAGUGUGUGUCUGUGAGUGUAUGUGUGAGUGUAUGUGUGUGUGUGAGUGUGUGUGUGUGUGUGAGUGUGUGUGUGUGUGUGAGUGUGUGUGAGUGUGUGUGUGUGUGUGUUACCUGUUUCUCUGGAGCAGCAUGGACACACUCCUCUUCUCUGAGAACCGACCACGUGGAGCAUCUUUUCAUCGUUACACGCUCUGUGGUCCAGCAGCAAAUAGAACUACACACACACACACACACACACACACACACACACACACACACACACACCAUAAGGUCCAGAAAUAUUGGCACCCUUGGUAAAGACGCAUAAAAAUGGUUAUGAGAAAUGUUUUAGCCUCCUCCUGGAAGUAUGAGAGAAAUCUGAGGUUUAAUUCAAAAGCGUUUAUUCUGAGGAAAUAAAUGGAUUUGAAGAUGGUGGAACAAAAAUACUGCAUUAACCGUUUAGGUUUUUUACAGAGUCCCUCCGUUUUCACAGGCUCAAAAGUAAUUGGACAGUUGACUGAUAAGCGGUUUCGUGACCGGGUGCGGCCUCUUCAUUAUUUCCUGACCGAUCGAGGAGAUAAAAGGUCUGGAGUUGAUUCCAAGCAUUUGGUAGCUGUUCAUGGGAGCUUUGAAUAUGCGGUCCGAAGAGGUGUCGGUGCAGGUGCAGGAGGCCAUCAUUAGGCUCAAAAAACAAAACAGACCGAUCAGGCGCUUUAGCAGUGGCCACGUCAGCAAUCUGGUUCAUUCGUAAAAAGAAGCGACGCACUGGCGAGCUCAGCGGCAAUAAAAGACCUGCAAGACCAUCGAAGACAACUAAAGUCAAUGAUCGCAGAAUUCUUUCCUUGUUGAAGAAAAGCUCCUUCAGAACAUCUAGCCAGGUCAAGAAGACUCUGGAGGAGGUAGGUGUAUCUCUCAAAGUCUACAAUCAAGAGACACCUUCAUGAAUGUAAAUACAGAUGAUUUACCUCAAGAUGCAAACCUCUGGUAUCACUCCACAACGGAAAGGUUAGAUUAGACCAGAUCUGAUGCAAGAUGAACUUGUACUAGAAUAAUGGGAAGAGAAGAGUAUGGAGAAGGAAAGGAAGGAUUCAUGAUCCAAAGCAUACCACAUCAUCUGUCCAACAUGGUGGAGGAAGUGUCACGGCACGGGCGUGUACGGCUGCCAGUGGAACUCUCUCACUGGUGUUUAUCGAUGAUCUGACUGCUGAUAGAAGGAGCGGGAUGAAUUCUGAAGCGUAUACAGCUUUACUUUCUGCUCAGAUUCAGUCAAAUCCUGCUCCAGGACGGAGCUUCACGGUCCAGACGGAUAACGACCCAAAACGUACGGCCUCAACCCACCUGAGCUGCUUUUCACUUACCGAAGACAAAACUGAAGGCAGAAAAACCCACAAACCAGCAGCGACUGCAGUAAAGACCCGAAAAACAUCUCGAGGGAGGAAACUCGGCAUUUAAUGACGUCCACGUGUUCCGGAUUUCAGGCCGACAUUGACUGCGAAAGAUUUGCAUCCAAGUAUUAAAUAUAACCUUAAUAUUUAUGAUUGUCCAAUUACUUUAGAGCCGGGGUAAAUGUAGGGAAUCUGAAAAAAAAAAAAAACUAUCUUGUACUUCCUAAACGGUUAAUAUGAUAUUAAAUUAAAGCUGAAAGUCGACACUUCACUCACAUCUCGACUGCUUCAUUUCAGAUCCACUGGGCUGGUGUGCAGGGGCAACAGGACUAAAAGUGGGUCACUGUCCAAAUACUUAUGGACCCGGCUGUAAUUUACUGAAUAGUCAUUAUUUUGUGUUCUUUUUAUUCACUAAUGUGACUAUAUAAUGAAAUAAACCAGAAAAGACAGGAUCGCGAUUUUAUCUUCUUACUCUUCUCAUCGGUGCUGUGACAGUUACUCGUGUUACCGUCUCGACCGUAUGAACAUCGUUUGUUUAAUAAUUAACGACACGCGAUGUCAUUAUCUCAGUAGAGCCACGUUCUCCUCAGGGAACCUGCUCCUUAAGAACAUCAUUCUGGAUGAGAACGUUAUUAAAAUCUUCUCCAUGCCGUGAAAUCGCCUCAUUAUUCUCCAACACAGUGUUACCUGCGGGCUGACGGACGGCGUCUCAGUGACGCUCUGCUCACGCACGCCCGUCUCACUGACCACGCCCACUGCAGCUCGCCUUCCUGGACACCUCCUACACCUGGUGCACACACACACACACACACACACACACUCGUCUCACUGACCACGCCCACUGCAGCUCGCCUUCCUGGAUACCUCCUACACCUGGUGCACACACACACACACACACACACACACUCAUUUCACUGACCACGCCCACUGCAGCUCGCCUUCCUGGAUACCUCCUACACCUGGUGCACACACACACACACACACACACACACACACACACUCAUCUCACUGACCACGCCCAUUGCAGCUCGCCUUCCUGGACACCUCCUACACCUGGUGCACACACACACACACACACACACACACACACUCAUUUCACUGACCACGCCCACUGCAGUUCGCCUUCCUGGAUACCUCCUACACCUGGUGCACACACACACACACACACACACACACACACACUCAUCUCACUGACCACGCCCACUGCAGCUCGCCUUCCUGGACACCUCCUACACCUGGUGCACACACACACACACACACACACACACACACGUCUCACUGACCACGCCCACUGCAGCUCGCCUUCCUGAACACCUCCUACACCUGGUGCACACACACACACACACACACACACACACACACACACACACACAUGUCUCACUGACCACGCCCACUGCAGCUCGCCUUCCUGAACACCUCCUACACACACACACACACACACACACACACACACACACACACACACACACACGUCUCACUGACCACGCCCACUGCAGCUCACCUUCCUGAACACCUCCUACACACACACACACACACACACACACACACACACACACGUCUCACUGACCACGCCCACUGCAGCUCGCCUUCCUGAACACCUCCUACACCUGGUGCACACACACACACACACACACACACACACACACACACACACAUCUGAUCUAAAUUUUCAGAAGGAAUUGUUGUGCUGGAAGUGACAGAGGGACGAGAUUUAUUAACAAUGACUUUAUUCUUUCUAUAAUUGAUAUUCUUUCUUUCCUUCUUUCUGUCCUUCAUACGUAUGGAAAUGCUUUUAUACACACCAGCACUCAGCACACACACACACACGCACACACACACACACACACACACACACACACACACACACACACACACACAUGAUAAGUGGCUCUAUUACUCUGGUGUAGACUGGGUUAUGAUGAGCGUGACUCGUCUGUUCACCUGAGGCUGAUAAUGGGCUUUAGAAUAAAGCAGAGCUCCGUGUAGAUCACGUCAUGCAUUAGCUAACAUCUGUGUGUGUGUGUGUGUGUGUGUGUGUGUGUGUGUGUGUGUGUGUGUGUGAUAGACAUAGAUUAAAAAAAAUGGCUAAAGACGCUCCAAGCAGCCAAGUGCGAAAAGCAAUUUGAGACGUAAAAAUGGCGAGCUGUGUCGCGUUUAAACGCAGCUUUAGACCAACAGCCUCCAUCUUGCUCCAUCCUGAUGCGUAAUUGCUGUAGUACACACUAAACCAAGCGUGUAAUUGAAAGCGUGCCGCCGUUCUGCUCGGUCUAAACACGCGCAUAAACGCAGGGCGAGAGAAUCACACACACUGAACCCUGCUGUAGAGUUCAGUCUCAUCAGCACAAACCAAACCUUCUUCUUACACCAACAUUUAUUUUCAAAUAGAUACCAAACACCCUGUUUUCUCUUUAGCUCCAUUUACACCACGGCGCUGCAGAGUUCUGGAUCCUGAUUGGUCAGAAGGUGGUGAUUAGUUCUCUAUAACAGCAGAUCAGAUAGUAGCGCAGGUUUAUAUUAAUGCGCUCGUGCUGAUACGUUAUCGUUUCUAUAGUAACGGCUCGUUCACAGCGAACGGAUGCUCCACAUAAACUGAUCAAAAAACGUAUGUAAUCGUUGAUAACGUGUGUAGGAAGGAGUCUCCAGUGUCAGCGCUGUGUAACAGUCAGAGGUGAAGCUGAAACUUUACAUUUUCAACAUCUUCAUCACAGAGUUUACACUCCUCUACUGUUUCACUCUAACACUCUCAACAAGAGAGAAUAGAGAGAGAGAAUAGAGAGAAUAGAGAGAGAGAAUAGAGAGAAUAAAGAGAGAGAAUAGAGAGAGAAUAGAGAGAGAGAAUAGAGAGAGAAUAGAGAGAGAGAAUAGAGAGAGAAUAGAGAGAGAGAAUAGAGAGAGAGAAUAGAGAGAGAAUAGAGAGAGAAUAGAGAGAGAGAACAGAGAGAGGAAUAGAGAGAGGGAAUAAAGAGAGAGAAUAGAGAGAGGGAAUAAAGAGAGGGAAUAAAGAGAGAGAAUAGAGAGAGAGAAUAGAGAGAGAAUAAAGAGAGAGAAUAAGAGAGAGAAUAGAGAGAGAGAUUAAAGAGAGAGAAUAAAGAGAGAGAAUAGAGAGAGAGAAUAGAGAGAGAGA
ensembl:lncRNA